ACCUGUCAACAGAUGCAGUCACUCCAUCAUAGAUGGCCUCCAGAUUGCUCAGGCAUGAUUUACCCUUGGUGAAGCGAUGCUGGCUGUUCCAGAUCACCUCCUUGUCCUGCAUGUGCCUUCACAUUGCCUUCAGGAGGAUUUGUUCCAUGGUCUUGCCAGGUACAGAGGUGAGGCUCACUGCUCUGUAGAUCCCCAGGUCU